CCCUGCUGUCCCAGCAGCCAAGUUGUUUUUCUGUAACUCCUCCAAGGCAGUUAAAGAAUAAUGAAGAUACAGAUAAUGAAUCUUAUUUUCUCCAGGUUGAAAUGGAAGGCCUGUCUCUUCAGUAUGGCUUCCCCAUAAUGUCAAAAGAGCAGCACCGAUAUGUGCAGGAAGCAGCAUGGAAAUCAGCAUCAGCUGGUGAAAACAAACUGAAGCACCCUGAAGGGGAAAGAACUGGCUGAAAUCUCAUAGCCCAUUAGUGCCAGGGAUGGAAUGGAGCCCCUUUUCCCAUUUUCUUCAUGGAACAAUGCAGGCCCAUCUGGAGCGCCAUAGGAAUCCUUUCCAAAAGAUACUUGUGUUACCACUGGAGGAAAAUUCACAACCUAACAAUGAGUUAUAUGAAGCUUUCCUAAGGACCCCAAACAGACAUCACAGCUGCAGUCCUUAAAUCGCAGAGCCUGUGGGGGCAGGCUGCUAUUGUGAAGAACAGAGAUGCUGACCACAAUACUGUGAUUUUUUUGGGAGACAGGCACAGAGCUAACUGAAUCUAUUACAGGUCAUGCAUAUAAAGAUCUUAUGAGAACUCUUGUACGUGGUUUAUGUAGUAUUCUUAGGUAUUAUCUUAGAAGCUUUUUGAAGACUGUGAGUCAUACCAUAGGGGUGGCCAAUUAUUUGGGCUGCACCAGCUGGGAUGAGGGGGGAGCCGGCCCAGUUCCAUAGAGCUCCUGCUGGCCGGGACCCUGUACCCUUACCACCCUGCUCUGGGCCCUGCUGGCACUGGCUCUGAGUUCCUCCCAGUGUCCCCCAGCCUCGUGGUACAGGCUGGGAACAGCUGUGGUACAGGAUCCUUCCCAGCUCACUGGCAGGGAAGGAGCUGGUGCAGAAAGUGGGGGAAAGGUGGCCCCUUGCCUGCCCCAUGGCCCACACUCCCUGCUGCAGCCACUCGCAGCCCAUGCAGUGGUGUCCUGAGCAGGCACAGGCAGCUUCAUGAGGGCUGCGAGCGGCUGCAGCACAGGAUGCCAGCCACGGGGUGGGGGAGGGGCCACUCCCCCCCCUCACUCAGCACCAGCUUGUA